rnacentral:lncRNA from 1 species
UUGUUUUUCAGUUGUCAUCACGUAAUAGAAAUGCCUUGUCCCUAAUAGAUGUUGUAUAUUUGCUUAUUGAAUGAAUGCAGUUGAAGGAAUGAUAGUUUCCUGUUUCUGAGGGAAAGUAUGUAGAAUAAGGAGAAGAGAAUGGUAGUAUCUGGGGGAACAUUAGAUAAAAGCAACUAAAAAAGAGAUUGAAAAUGGGCUAAUAAGAAGGUUGUUUUUCAUUGGUUUUGUUUUUCUUUGUUGUCCUAUAUUUUUAAAUUAGAACUCCUAUAAAAUAAUUAUAAUGAUUAGUAAAAUUUAAGACCACUGUUAUUCUAAUAUAUCAGUUAAUUUUAAGUAGAUCAAUAAAUUAACUUCUCAAAGCAGAAUAU